rnacentral:lncRNA from 1 species
CGAUAGUCCGAUCUUUUGGUGCAGCUCAGCUUCGCACUACGGUGGGCAAAGGAUUGCUACCGCAUCUUCUCCUCGAGAACCUUCGUCUUGCGGACCUACUCCAGGAGCUCGAGCGUACGCGGCCACAGAGGAAAAUGUCAGGACAAGGUUUGUUUCUGGGGUUGUCACUAAGAACUUGUACGAUCUCUUAGGCGUGAGCAAAACGGCAUCUCCUAGAGAAAUUAAAGCUGCCUACAGGCUGGCGGCUCGCCGGCUACAUCCCGACGUUGUUCCAGAGGAACAGAAAAUGGAAGCCACUAAGGCCUUCUUGGAAGUGCAACAAACUUACUCAAUACUCGCUGAUCAGCAAUUGAGAGCGGCUUACGACUUGACACUUUCCAUGCAAACUUUUCAGUCUGGCGGUUUCAUCAAUAGAAGGCCCAUCUCAUAUAGCGGGAUGGAAGAGAUAACUUACUCUACUCCUUCUUGGGGUUUCACUUCUUCUCCAAUUUCCAGCAACGAUUCGUUUUCCUCCAGCAAUUUUUCAUUUAAGGGACGCAAUUGGGAGACCGAUCAGUGCUGGUGAUAAGCAUUAGAACC